UUCAGAUUUUUCAAAGAAUAUUUUAUUCUGAGGUUAAUUAUCACGAGCGCUACUAAUUAAUCCAAAAAUGAAGUUAAUUCCAUUGAUGUGUAUCGUCUUUGUCGUGAUGUUGACAUCAUUCCCUGCUAAGAUUAAGAGUGAUUGCCUUAAAACUCUUCAGUCAUGCCUGCGCCAAGAGCCUAAAAAUAACCAGGGGAAGGCAAAAUGUCAGUUUGGAAUAGAAAUGUCACGCCAACAACAUUAGCAUGUGUAUGUCGUGUAAUGAACAAUCCUCAUGACAGAUCAAUUUUUACCCGAGUUCUAAAAGCUUGUGGAUUAGGAGAUUUUCAAUUCAAGUGUUAACAAUACGGGCAUAAAAUAGUCAAACC
rnacentral:lncRNA from 1 species